rnacentral:rRNA from 1 species
UCGGGAAUUUUCCACAAUGGGCGAAAGCCUGAUGGAGCAACGCCGCGUGCAGGAUGAAGGCCUUCGGGUUGUAAACUGCUUUUAUCUGUGACGAUUAUGACAGUAGCAGAGGAAUAAGGGUCGGCUAACUCCGUGCCAGCAGCCGCGGUCAUACGGAGGACCCAAGCGUUAUUCGGAAUUACUGGGCGUAAAGAGUUGCGUAGGUGGUUUGUUAAGCAAGUAAUGAAAUCGUGUGGCUCAACUAUACGACUAUUAUUUGAACUGGCAGACUUGAGUAUGAGAGAGGUACCUGGAAUUCCCGGUGUAGGAGUGAAAUCCGUAGAUAUCGGGAGGAACACCAAUGGCGUAGGCAGGGUACUGGCUCAUUACUGACACUGAGGCACGAAAGCGUGGGGAGCAAACGGG